GCCCCAAUAGCUCAGAGGUAGGGCAUCUGUCAAAUAUACCCUGGUAUUGCCUCGGUGAACCGUAUAUUUAUUAUCAGCAGGCCAGGGUUCGAAUCCCCGUUGGGGUG